GGAAGGAUCAUUAACGAAUUGUAAUGGGGGCUGAUGCUGGCAGCUGCAAGCUGCAUGUGCUCGUUUCCAGCAAUCCCAUAUCCCAAACACCUGUGCACAUUUUGGGUUUCUGAGCUGGAUCUAAUCCAUCCUUCUUAGAUUUCCCCUUUUCAAACACUAAUUGUAAUGUUGAACGUGAUUUGUGCCGUCAAGGCUUUAAUAUAAUACAACUUUUGACAACGGAUCUCUUGGCUCUCGCAUCGAUGAAGAACGCAGCGAAAUGCGAUACGUAAUGUGAAUUGCAGAAUUCAGUGAAUCAUCGAAUCUUUGAACGCAUCUUGCGCUCCCUGGUAUUCCGGGGAGCACGCCUGUUCGAGUGUCGUGAAAUUGUCAAGGCCAUGGAUGGUUUUUAGUCCUGGCCUUGGUUUGUUGGGCUUUGCCGUUCCGUUUAUUGGGAUGGCUAGCCUCAAAAGCAUUAGCUGGCUUGUGUGGGCAAUUGGCUCAACUUGGCGUGAUAAUGGUGACCGCUGAGGAAACAUCCUGUGGGAUGGCCAAUUCUCAUUAGAGUUGCUCCUAAUCUAUUUCACUUUUCAAUUUUGGCCUCGAAUCAGGUGGGACUACCCGCUGAACUUAAGCAUAUCAAUAAGCGGAGGAAAAGAAACUAACAAGGAUUCCCUUAGUAACGGCGAGUGAAGCGGGAAAAGCUCAAAUUUAAAAUCUGGCAGUCUUUGACUGCUCGAAUUGUAAUCUAGAGAAGCGUUUUCCGCGCUGGACUGCGUACAAGUUUCCUGGAUACGGAACAUCAUAGAGGGUGAGAAUCCCGUCCUUGACGCAGAUUACCAGUGCCUUUGCGAUGCGCUCUCGACGAGUCGAGUUGUUUGGGAUUGCAGCUCAAAAUGGGAGGUAAAUUCCUUCUAAAGCUAAAUAUUGGCGAGAGACCGAUAGCGAACAAGUACCGUGAGGGAAAGAUGAAAAGCACUUUGGAAAGAGAGUUAAACAGUACGUGAAAUUGUCAAAAGGGAAACGCUUGAAGUCAGUCAUGUUUGCUUGGAUUCAGCCGUGCUUCGGUAUGGUGCAUUUCCUUGUGGACAGGCCAGCGUCCAUGUUGUUUUUUUGGAGAAGGGGUAAAGGAAUGUGGCUCCUCUGGGAGUGUUAUAGCCUUCACUCGCAUGCAAAGAUCAAUAUGGAGUGGUACAGCAUACCUUCGGUGGUGCUUGUGCUGGCAUAAUGGCUUUAAACGACCCGUCUUGAAACACGGACCAAGGAGUCUAACAUGUCUGCGAGUGUUUGGGUGGAAAACCCGAGCGCACAAUGAAAGUGAUUACUGGGAAUCCCUUUGGGAGGCACCGGUGCCCCGAGCUGACCUUCUGUGACGCAUCGGAGGCGGAGCAUAUAUGUUGGGACCCGAAAGAUGGUGAACUAUGCCUGAAUAGGGCGAAGCCAGAGGAAACUCUGGUGGAGGCUCGUAGCGAUUCUGACGUGCAAAUCGAUCGUCAAAUUUGGGUAUAGGGGCGAAAGACUAAUCGAACCAUCUAGUAGCUGGUUCCUGC
rnacentral:misc_RNA from 1 species